CUAACUUUUCAAGAGUUUCUGAAUGUGUACAGUGAACACCAAGAAAUUGUAGUCAACUGUAAAUAAUGAAAUUACUUAAAGGCAGAUAGUUUCAUAGGCAAAAUAAUAAUUUUUUACCAAAGAAAUACAUUUCACAUGUGUGGUUGGAUUACAAAUGUUUGCUGUGCUCUGCGGUGGAACUUCCAGGUGGAACUUGCAGGGUCUCCAGAGGCUUCGAGAGAGCCCAGUUUCCAGGGGCGCCUGAGAUACUCUUCAUUUUGCUGAUAAGACAUGUGUUCAGAGAAGGCACAAGCAACAGGAGACCUAUUAGUAAAUUAUGGAACCCAAGAUACUGGUCAAUUUAUUUUAGCUGACUAUUUAUAAUAAUGAAACUGUGGUUGAAAAAGAAUUAAAUACUUUUAAAAAAACCUCAUGUUACCGUACUCUCCAAAAUUCUAGAUAUUACAACCACCAACAUGCUUUUUGUAACAUUCACAUAAAAUUAUAGAACAAAGCAAGGAAAACACCAGGUUGCUUUUCAAGUCAAGACGAAUAUUUCCAUUCAUACGAAAUGCCAAAUAAUGAGCCAAAAUAAUGACUAAUUUGAUUAAUGUGAUAAAAAUAAAGGACCAAAACCAUUAAUCUUGUUACCAGGUUCAUGGAUGUGACCAAAAGGCCAUGAAACCCCAUGACUGCAGUUCCCCGAUAGUUUGAGGAACAGAGAAUUCUGGCAGUAGUGAUUGGGUGUGGAGUCUUUAUUGGCAGAUAAAAGCCCCAAUAGUAUUCCAUGCUGAGGAAGCAGGACACACAAAGGUGUUGAGAAUGUUGUCCACAGACCGCCAGGAUGGCUAAGCCGUGGACAGGAGAGCUCUGCUGGUGCUAGGGGUGUGCAAGCCGGGAAGAGAAGGACUCCGGCACCGGCUGAAGGUGCUCUCUCUUUGAAGAGCAGGAGGGACAGGUUGGUUUUAUGCCCCACAGGAUCCGUAAGACACAAGGGUCCUAGAUACCCCACACACGUCAUGGGGAAAAGCUGUACAUACAUGUGAGGGGAGCCGAGUACAUGCUCUGGGUAAACGUGUGUGUGACAUACAUCCCAUAAUCACUUUGGCAUGGGUUUUUAGCAUUAAAAUGUGGUGGAAUUUGGCUCUUUACGUCAAAAAGUGAGCUAUAGGACACAAAGACAGUUUGUGCACAUCCUCUACAAGCUAGCUAGCGCUAGUCUGUGGUCUGCAGUAGCUUAGCAGCGAAGAGUGUUUGUAAGGCAGGUUUCCCUGUCCAGUCAGGGUUGCAGAGGUCUGGGUUGCAAAUCAGAGUUCAUAGCUCCUAUUGUUAGGGAGUUUGGCCUGAGCAGUUUGGAAAUUUGCCCUGCCAGCCAGGCCCUGAACCUUCCACCCAUAGGUAAGUUGGUUUCCUUAAUCUUUGGGUCUGUCGUAGUUGAUAAAGCGGAGUCUAUUUUGGUCUCUCGGAUCACAGGGAAAACAGUUUCACAUUUAAAAGUUUGUCAUUUGACUUGUAGCAGAUAUUUUUCAAGCACCAGCUGUUUUCCUGCAGCUGAAGAUAAAGUGGUAAAAGAGACAGAGCGGAAGCUUCGUGGUGCGCACAUUCUGGAGUGGUCCUGUCCGGUGGGAGCCACACGUCACCUCCAGUUUGGUCUAAAUUCACUUCAUGUGCUCAGUAGCCACGUUGGGCUGAUGGUGAUCGAGAGGAGGAGGACGUGGGUAGAAAGAAGCAAAGUGACGGACCAAAUAGAGGGAAGGAGGCCGAGAGCACGUUUCAGCGGCUGCCCCGAGUGGGAAAGGUGGAGAGGAGAAGAGAUGCUGAGUAAGUAUUGUAAGGUUCAUCCUUUCACAUAAACUCUCUCCCUCACACACAAACUACCUUGUUUUUUAAGGCUUUGCUGAGUGUAACAGUGUCUCUUUGGGACUCUGCCUUAAGGCUGGCUUAAAGUUGACACGGUGGCUUGCCCUGUGUUGACUGUGUAAAUGGCAAGAUGUUGGAAUGGUUGCUUUGCUCGGAAGAAGCUAAGGUACAGAAUGGGCCUCGUGAACACCUGGAAAUGCCAACGACCAAUCAGUGAGCGCAUACCUGGUGCCAGGCCCUGCUCAAUGCUUGCCUUUAGUUCCUGUCCUCAAGAAGUAACUAAUUUUAAGUAAGUACUACUGGAAGCCCCUUUUAUAGAUGAGGGCACAGCAGGUUAUGUUACUGGCCUGAAUUUCACAGGUGGUAACUGAGGAAACCAGGGCUUGCUUCUAGA